rnacentral:rRNA from 1 species
AGUGAACGCUGGCGGUAGGCCUAACACAUGCAAGUCGAACGGCAGCACAGAGGAGCUUGCUCCUUGGGUGGCGAGUGGCGGACGGGUGAGGAAUACAUCGGAAUCUACUCUGACGGGGGGGAUAACGUAGGGAAACUUACGCUAAUACCGCAUACGACCUACGGGUGAAAGCAGGGGAUCUUCGGACCUUGCGCGAUUGAAUGAGCCGAUGUCGGAUUAGCUAGUUGGCGGGGUAAAGGCCCACCAAGGCGACGAUCCGUAGCUGGUCUGAGAGGAUGAUCAGCCACACUGGAAAUGAGACACGGUCCAGACGCCUACGGGAGGCAGCAGUGGGGAAUAUUGGACAAUGGGCGCAAGCCUGAUCCAGCCAUACCGCGUGGGUGAAGAAGGCCUUCGGGUUAUAAAGCCCUUUUGUUGGGAAAGAAAUCCAUCUGGUUAAUACCCGGGUGGGAUGACGGUACCCAAAGAAUAAGCACCGGCUAACUUCGUGCCAGCCGCCGCCGUAA